rnacentral:tRNA from 1 species
GGGCGGAUAGCUCAGCUGGGAGAGCACCUGCCUUACAAGCAGGGGGUCGGCGGUUCAAGCCCGUCUCCGCCCACCA